rnacentral:rRNA from 1 species
UACGGAGGAUGCAAGCGUUAUCCGGAAUGAUUGGGCGUAAAGCGUCCGCAGGUGGCAAUGUAAGUCUGCUGUCAAAGCGUCUGGCUCAACCAGAUAAAGGCAGUGGAAACUACAUAGCUAGAGUAAGGUAGGGGUAGAGGGAAUUCCUGGUGUAGCGGUGAAAUGCGUAGAGAUCAGGAAGAACACCGGUGGCGAAGGCGGCAUCCUGGACCGGCAUUGACGCUGAUGAGCGAAAGCCAGGGGAGCAAACGGG